AACGAACGUUCGCGGCGCGCCUAACGCAUGCAAGUCGAGCGAGAAAGGGCUUCGGCCCCGGUACAGCGGCGCACGGGUGAGUAACACGUAGGCAAUCUGCCCCUGAGUGGGGGAUAACCUUCCGAAAGGGGGGCUAAUACCGCAUGAGACCACGACCCCGCGAGGGGAUGAGGUCAAAGCCGGCCACUUCACGAAAGCUGGCGCUUGGGGAUGAGCCUGCGGCCCAUCAGCUAGUUGGUAGGGUAAUGGCCUACCAAGGCGAAGACGGGUAGAUGGGCUGAGAGGAGGAUCAGCCACGCUGGAACUGAGACACGGUCCAGACUCCUACUGGAGGCAGCAGUGGGGAAUCUUGCGCAGUGGGCGAAAGGCUGACGCAGCGACGCCGCGUGAGUGAUGAAGGCCGUCGGGUUGUAAAGCUCUGUGGAGAGGGACGAAUAAGGCAUGGCUAACAUCCAUGUUGAUGACGGUAUCCCUUUAGCAAGCACCGGCUAACUCUGUGCCAGCCGCCGCUGUAAUAC
rnacentral:rRNA from 1 species